rnacentral:rRNA from 1 species
GUCCUGGCUCAGGAUGAACGCUGGCGGCGUGCUUAACACAUGCAAGUCGAGCGAAGCACUUUACUUGGAUUUCUUCGGAAUGACGAGUAUUGUGACUGAGCGGCGGACGGGUGAGUAACGCGUGGGUAACCUGCCUCAUACAGGGGGAUAACAGUUAGAAAUGACUGCUAAUACCGCAUAAGACCACAGCACCGCAUGGUGCAGGGGUAAAAACUCCGGUGGUAUGAGAUGGACCCCGCG